GUAGUCGGAUUCACAUCAAUCCACAUGUGUUGGAGUGUAAAAUUUAAAUUAAAUUCCACCUCAAUCUACUACAACACAUGUCGAUUAAGGUGAAUCCGACA
rfam:Sorghum bicolor cultivar BTx623 chromosome 2, whole genome shotgun sequence.